rnacentral:lncRNA from 1 species
AUGGCUGCCGCCAUGCACCGCCUCGCUCGACGCCUUUCCCGCCUUUUUCCCCGCCCCCUCCCCCCCCUCGAAUCUCGCUCCCCCUCCCCGCCUCGCGUGGCGCAUGCGCAAUGCGGCCGCCGCCCGGCGGCUGCGGGGCGCUGUGGUGGGGAGCGCGGCCGCGUGAGGGGAGGGCGGUGCGAGGAGGCCGCACGGGGACAGCGGGAAGCGGGACCCUUCGCAGGUACCGAUCCACUUUACAAUAAGAGGGACUUACCAGCGUUAUUCUUGGCACACCCUUCUGUUCAGUGUUUUACCCAUGUGGCGCGCUAUUCCGCUGCCUAGGCUGACGCUGUGGACCUGUAAACUUGAAACUGCCUGUUUCUUUUCUGCCUGGACGUUAUUUCUGCAAAAUUCAGCAUAAAGCAGGCAAAGAUAUUUAUUUCUUGUACGAUCAGGAGCUGUUGCUGUUUUAUCAGCUGCGUUCGUAGUUUCACGUUUGGAGAUAUCUGCUGUAAUUUUGUAAAAUCCCUGCUCUCCUCCCAGUUUUGGCUCAGUUUUCUGCACAAUUGGAGUAUUAUGUAAGAUCUUGCUGUACGGCUCCGAUCUCUGACUGCUGGCGUUUCCUACUCAGCACGGAGAGGAAAUAAAACAAAAAUGUGUUGUAAAAAAAAGUCUUUA